rnacentral:rRNA from 1 species
AACGAACGCUGGCGGCAUGCCUAACACAUGCAAGUCGAACGAGACCUUCGGGUCUAGUGGCGCACGGGUGCGUAACGCGUGGGAACCUGCCCUUAGGUUCGGAAUAACUCCCCGAAAGGGGUGCUAAUACCGGAUAAUGUCUUCGGACCAAAGAUUUAUCGCCUUUGGAUGGGCCCGCGUUGGAUUGGCCAGUUGGUAGGGUAAAAGCCUACCAAGGCGACGAUCCAUAGCUGGUCUGAGAGGAUGAUCGGCCACACUGGGACUGAGACACGGCCCAGACUCCUACGGGAGGCAGCAGUGGGGAAUAUUGGACAAUGGGCGAAAGCCUGAUCCAGCAAUGCCGCGUGAGUGAUGAAGGCCUUAGGGUUGUAAAGCUCUUUUACCCGGGAUGAUAAUGACAGUACCGGGAGAAUAAGCUCCGGCUAACUCCGUG